CCAACAGGGAUUGCCUUAGUAACGGCGAGUGAAGCGGCAAAAGCUCAAAUUUGAAAUCUAACGCCUCUGGUGUUCGAGUUGUAAUUUGGAGAGGCAUCUUCCGGAGUGGCCCAGCCUAUGUACCUUGGAACAGGACGUCAUAGAGGGUGAGAAUCCCGUUCUUGGCUGGAUGUUCACUCCCGUAUGUAGUGUCUUCUACGAGUCGAGUUGUUUGGGAAUGCAGCUCAAAAUGGGUGGUAAAUUUCAUCUAAAGCUAAAUAUUGGCGAGAGACCGAUAGCGCACAAGUAGAGUGAUCGAAAGAUGAAAAGCACUUUGAAAAUAGAGUCAAACAGUACGUGAAAUUGUUGAAAGGGAAGCGCUUGAGAUCAGAGUCAGCCUUUGGCAAACAACUGUCCUUUUGGGCGGUGCACUUGUCAUUGGUUGGGCCAGCAUCGGUUGGGACGGUGGGAUAAAGGCUUGGGAAAUGUGACUCCUUUAUGGAGUGUUAUAGUCCCAGGUGGCAU
rnacentral:rRNA from 1 species